UUCCCGCGGCACGGGGUUCUUUUUGUGGGCUGUAGGACAACAGGGUCGCCAUGUUAAACCGAGGCCGUGACAGCAGAGAGGUUGUGCAAACAUCUGGAUAAUCGACGGACUGUGUAAAACAUGUGGGAAUUGUGUUAUCUUCACACGAAUGAGACGCUUUGGAUGACUCACCAAAGAGGUUAAAUCUGGCUGCGCUUCCAGACACAUGGAGAAGUAGCAGAAGCCACAGAGCAAGUAGGUUUCGGUGUACGAGCAUUUUCAGCCCCCCCAGUGUCUGAUGCAGACAAGACAACGAAACAAAGAAGAAAUAUGCAGCACUUUAUAACUCAAAUGUAUGCCUUUUAUGGUUUUGAAAAGGAACAACAGUAGAAACGUGGUUUUGUUCUUGUUCUUAAUGCAUGCUAAACAAUUCAUUAAGAGGGAAUACAACUUAUGUUAGCGGUUUUGUUUUAAUCGUACAUUAUGUUUGCAUUAAAAGUUAGACAAAACCUAAAAGGCUAAAUGUACUAAAUCCUCAAUUUACCUUCUCCUCACUGGUUUAAAGUGACGUCGUCGAAAAUGUGCUUCUCUCUUGAAGUGAAGUGUGUGUCUUCAAUGUCUCUCCUUAUAAAGUCUGGCUGAAAACAGGUUUCACUUCUUUAUUCCCGCUGCUUUCCCACUGCUUUCCCAAAGUUUCGUUUCACAUUAAGCAGUAAAUCAGGGUGUUGCGCAACACUUGUUGGUUUAGUGGCCGGCCCCUACUUGUUUGAGGGGAAGGUUUUGUUGAAUUAGUCCCUUAAACAAAGUCACAUGACUUAAACGACAAGAGUCAGAAAAUAGGAAUCAAGCUAUUUUACUCAGUCAUCAAACUCAAACAAGUAUAGCACUCAUUGUCCUUCAAAUAACAUGGGUGAAGAAUAACAGCCUUUUAGUUUUUUCAGUGAAAUCGGUGUGUACAGAAUGAUGUUUAACAUGGAGCAAAACAGGACAAACAAACCUUUUGAGAAUGUACAGUAUGUGCACGCACUUGAAUGUUUUGAGAAAAUAAAUCACAGUCCGACCAAUCGAUCUUGUGUACAUUCAUCAUGAGAAACGCUGCAGUACGGUCGAGGGCCACAUCUGUGCCGGUGAGGAGACGGACUACGGACCCGCUGACAUUGUUUAUGUCGAUCCGUGGAAUCUUUGCCUCGACGCGGAAGCAGCGAGUGCAGUAAGUUCAACGGGG